AGGGCCUCGAGCAAAAGCACGCGCACAGGUAGCGCGGGAGCGUGCUUUGCGGGAGCCGAAGGGACGCCCCGGGGCAUCUGCGAGCGUGGGGCUGUCCGGUGACUCUCUUUUGAACCUCGUUCUGCGCGCCCUGCGCUCGCUUUCCCCCUCCAACCUGUCCCGGCUGUCCGGGGAUGGGCUGCCGGAGCGUUUCUCCGUGCCGCGUAGCGCCGCGACCGUCCCGCUGCCGGCCGAGCUCCGGGCUCUGCUGCUGCUGCUGGCUGCGCUCGGUGCGCGCUCCCUGGGUGUCACCUCCGAGCGAUCCCGGACCGAGAGAAAGCUCCUACGAGAGCAAAGUUGGGCGCUUCCCUCAGAGCGUCGCGAACCUCAGCGCAAGCCGAGGUGCUCCCCGAGCAGGGUAUUCCCUCCUGCCGAGCGGCCAGCGCUAUGGAAAGAACCGAGGGGAAGCGGGAGGAAUCUCCGCGCGCUUCCCCGAAGCCACACGGGCGCAUCCCGGUGGCAGCGCGGGGCUGAGCUCCUCAGCCCCGUGUGUUUGGAAGCGUAACGCGAUACAUCGCCUCCCUUGAUCUCAUUCUGCCUUCCUCCUUAGCCGUACCUCACUGUACUUAAGAGGACGGUUUUGCUACCAGCCCUCUCCCCCCAUCCCCACGUUUUCAUCUCUUCCUCCUGCUUGCUCUCCUGUCGACAGCUCCAUACCUUUCCAUUAUUUCCUCACACGCAUCACACCAGUCGAUCUCUGGCCAUUCCUGGCACCGCUCUCUGCCUUUGGCCACCACCCAGGUGUCCACACAGUGUUGGCAUCCAUCCCAUCCCGUACUACUGCCAUGUCCCGGCCCCGGGUGGCCUCUGUCAUCCCACUGCCACCUCGGCCUGCCCUGACUUUCCACCAGCCAUUGCUCAUCUCUGGAGAUGGAGUCACCUCCAACCUGUCUGGUACCAGGACCUGCAUACCUGGCAUCGUGGUCACGCAUGCUCACACUAGAUUCCAUCACAUACGAAGUAUAAGCAGUACCUGUUGGACUUGGCUAGGGUUUUUGCUGUGGACUUCCCCAUCACCAGUUUGUGCUUCUCUCUUGCCAUGGGCAUGGCCAAAGACUUCAGUGCUCACCUGUGUUGUAUACUGUUUAACGCUCUUUGCCCUGGCACAUCCUUUAGCCGCAUAACGACACUGAUAUGCUUUGUUGUCGCCAGUAUUUCCACCCCAGCGGACCACCUUUCAGCUUGGCAUUAUGGGGAGCCCUCCAAGAGAGGUGUGCGAAGGGACAGGCACUGCACAGCUGCACUGGUGCAUCUGUCAGCCAACCAGCCGGUCAACCAUUCAGGCACCUCAAUGCUGCACUAGGGAGUUCCUGUCCUCCAAAAUAUACCUCUUCUUUCCCAAAAUUCUGAUACCUCGGCCUGACAAGCACUUCAUAUAUGAAUCCUUAACACCACAGCCUGCUGUUAGGAAUGUGCACGCUGCACCCAGUGCUGGAGCGAGACCAGAAGGGUAGAGCUCAGGUGUUUUGGAACCAUCCCACAGGCAGCCCCUGGCGGCCUUCCAGCAUGCUCUUCCUUUAAGCGUGCUCACUGUGCCUCUGGAGAAGACUGCUGAUCCAUCAGUUAAUCGUAUUGAUGAGGCUGGGAAACAGGAAUCGAGCAGCAGGAGGACAAAAGCUAUUCUUACAGAUUUCCCAGCUCAGCUAAACCCAGGACUGACUGGAAGGCCACCAGGAAAGCCUGGACUCUGGAGACCUCCAGCCCGAUCCGGAGACUUUUGGACUCUUAUCCACUGGGAACAGAAACACUGAGAGUCACACUCGGAGUCAGGCUCGGAAAGUGUCAAGAAUAGCCUCUGUUGCAGUAUUUCUGUACUACCGCUUCCUGCCCAGGCUGAAACAAGGAAGGACAAGAAAGGUUCAUCCAUCUUAGCAUGCUUUGUUGACCAACCCCAUGAACGGAAUGACGCGGAGACUUUCUCCAGCCAAAUGAGGACAUCACCAUCAAAUCAAACCCCACACCCUAUUCAGGAAAAGAGAAAUGCAG
ensembl:lncRNA